rnacentral:tRNA from 1 species
GAGGGUACUACACAGUAAGAACUGCUAAUUCCUACCACCGGGAAUAACCCCCCGGCCUCCUC